rnacentral:rRNA from 1 species
CCUACGGGAGGCAGCAGUGAGGAAUAUUGGUCAAUGGCCGAGAGGCUGAACCAGCCAAGUCGCGUGAGGGAAGACGGCCCUACGGUUUGUAAACCUCUUUUGUCGGGGAGCAAAGCGAACCACGUGUGGUUCAUUGAGAGUACCCGAAGAAAAAGCAUCGGCUAACUCCGUGCCAGCAGCCGCGGUAAUACGGAGGAUGCGAGCGUUAUCCGGAUUUAUUGGGUUUAAAGGGUGCGUAGGUGGGUGGGUAAGUCAGCGGUGAAAGUUGGGGGCUCAACCCCGGAAUUGCCGUGGAAACUGGAUGACUUGAGGGCGCGAGAGGUAUGCGGAAUGCGUGGUGUAGCGGUGAAAUGCAUAGAUAUCACGCAGAACUCCGAUUGCGAAGGCAGCAUACCGGCGCGCAACUGACGCUGAUGCACGAAAGCGUGGGGAUCGAACAGGAUUAGAUACCCGUGUAGUC